CAUUGGCUGCGAAAGUGCGGGAGGCGUGUCCCUGGACGCUGGCGGAGCUGGAGAGUGUGUUUUGUGACGAGUUGAAAAUGGCGGAAAGGCUGAGGCGAGUUCAACUUUAACGGGUAACAAAAAAUAAUCUCGCAAGGCAGUUUCGCGAAUCUAAAAAACAAACAAAACAAUGAAAUAAAUAAAAAUAAUAACACGAAAUAAAGCUUCUCGAAGGGUCUCGCAAACAACACAAGAAACCCCGACUCACGGAAACGGGAGAGGAAGAAAGCCGAAGCGGAGAGAGACGAACAUUUACGAAAAAAAAAAUAUAAAUAAAUAUAUUUAAAACCGACUCAACCCCCUCUUUUUUUUUUUUUUUUUUAAAUGCCGUUUUCCGUGGAUAUUUUCAAAUGCCUCUCUGUGUAAUUCACACACAGAUACAGGGACGCGAACAGAAGGGAAAACACUCUCUCUACACUUCGACGGCGGGGCACAGAUGAAGUAUUAUUAAUAUUAAAAUAACGAUGGAGCCAGAAGGGGCGAAAGUGCGCUACAGCAAGAGACUGCGUUCUGGCACCAGGAGGCGCUAUCAGGACGAUGGAAUCUCGGACGACGAGAUCGAGGGCAAGAGGACCUUUGACCUGGAAGAGAAACUGAUCAGCAGCAACUACAACGCCAACUUCGUCAAGGUCAUGGAGG